AGAACGUACAUUAAAAACAUAAUACUGUCAGUGUAUACAGACAUCGUAUGUAUGUCAUAAAUGCGUGUUAUAGUUGGGAAAGACAGAAAGAGAAAUGUGUCAUGAUGAUGGUAGCUUUGAUUACAGUCUCUGAGAGGGACACUGGAUUCAGCCUGUUGACUGACAGCAGAGGUGAAGGAAUCUUGCAGUGAAUUACAGAGAAGGAAAACGAACACCCACACAUGAUGGCUCCUCAGGACAGCAGACAGCUACUAUUAUGUCUGGAGGAUGAAAUAUUAAAGAAGAGCAGAAAAGGAGAUGCAUAGUGAUCAAGACAUUUUUUCCAGUUAGUGAUGAACAUGCUUGAGAUGGAACAUGAGAUGUGUGAAGAAAAUGAAGAAUCAAGAAAAAAGUAGGCCAUACAGGUUUUGACCGACAUGAAGGAUCAUAGUGGAUGUAAGCCAGAUACACAACUCCCUCCAGCUACUGAGGAAUGAAAACUGACAGAUGACAACAUGAUGUAGAAGAGUCAUCCAUCAAAUGUCACAGCUGUAGUCAGGUGGCGCCAUUACACCACUCAGCGACUCUCCAGGUGAUGGACAUGCCUGGCUCAGCUCAGCAGCACCAUAAUGAUGUUACAUGUCAUGGGCAUUUGUAGACAUAUCACUGUGUACAAUUUAUCAACACACACUGUCAUUGUAUCUGCCUCCGCCUGAGUUCUGUCACAGAGGCCCAACCAAACAGCCACCAACCACAUCCUUAAGGGAAAUAAGAUAAAUGUCAAGCAGACGUGUGUGUGGAAGGACAAACUGAUCUAUCGCUGAAAUCACGGCCUGCCCACAGACUCCAAAGUCAAGCUAAAGAAAAGAUCUGGCUGGCGAUAUGGGUCUGUAGGAGUGUUUAAGGAUUUAGAGCCGUAAUGUUGAUGAGUGCACUAACAGCAGGAAAUGAGGGCGGCAGAGGAGAGAGGAGUCAGUGGAGGGGAACACAAAUCUCCCACUUCCCGACAGAUGACUUGCUGAGUCUCGCCUCCACAUUACCAUCUCAGGCUCUGUCAGUGUGUAUGUGUGUGUGUGUUUACACAUGUAAGGCCAUAAACCAAGCCUCUGCCUCUUUUCAGGGUCUCAUUUUAGACCCAGCUAACGGGGAACAUUCUGGAAAGUUCUCUCAAAGCUAUAAACAAAUGUUCUUUUAGUAACUUUAUUAGAGUGUUCAUUCAGAGUAAUCUUUAAUAUUGUUUUCAAAACGUUAGCACAUCAUUCAUUUUUUUUUCUGAAACAUUUAACUCUUUCCCGGCCAGUGUUUUUAAGAAAAGUUGCCUGACCCCACUAGCUUUUUUGAUUAUUUUCCACAUCGGAUUCAGAAAGAUGAUCAAAACAUAGAUGCAGUGGAUCACUUUUAUCAACACCCCCAGUGCUUGCACAGUCAUAUACCACUUUUGACAUUUUGUUAACGUUAGGGAGUUUUGAUUUAUUUGCUAUUAAAUGUUUGAUGAUUGCAUUAUUUUACAUAUGUGUCUGCUUAACAUAUGCGCUCACUUUUGCUUUUUCCUCACCGUGUUUUGAACCAGAGAUUCAGUACUCUUUCAGAAGAUGUGUAAUAGCGCCUCCUACCUUAUAACAGUGAAAACACAAAGCCGGAAAAUUCUGUGAAUGUUGUCUUAAAAAUGAUGGAAAAUCCUGUCAGUGGCAGGGAAAGAGUUAAGCUGGAAGCUCAUCUAACAUUUUUUUUUUUUUUUUUUUUUACUACUUAAUAACAUUCAGAGAGCAUUCAAAAGCAACAUUCCCUUGUUUGCAAAAUGAUAAAAGGUUUUCUGUGAACAUUCAGAAAUAAUUAAGAAACAACAUUUUAAUAACUUUAUGGAAACGUUAGAGGAACAUUGUUAUCUGUGCAGGCAGGCAGACUCACCUCCCACAAUCCAUUGCAUCCCAUUAAGUGAAGCACACUUCAAUAUUGGCGAAUCAUGUUGUGUUUUGCUUGGUUACACCCUGUAUUUUGUACAUUAUAGCAAAAUGAAGUAUAAGAGAGUGUACAAAUGUGGUCAGUCAGAUGAAGGGAUCAAUCUACUAUUUUGUGGGAUGAUUUGCAUAAUCAAUAAUCAACCCUUUCACUCAAAUGAAAGAAUCAAUAUCAUUUUGGAAGCUGAAGCAUGCUGUUCAAACAUGAUUAUUACACAUUAUGGGUAAAACAAAGCAUGAUCAUAUAGAAACAGAAAAUGGAAAAGCCUUUGUUUGUUUCACACGCUAAACCUCAGUUCCUCAUAAAGACUAUUGUCUUAAUGGAUUUUUUCUUUCGUGCGGGGGUCUGACUCUCCCAGUUGAGAUCCAUACUCUCUUGUUUUUUUCU